CGGUGGGGCGGGGGCGAGGCGGAGCGCGCACAACCCCCGGCGGCUGUUGCCGCGACACCUGCGCCGCCUGUGCCGGGAAACAGCAGGCGAGCGGGGUAGCUACAGCCGGAGCGGCAGGAAGAGGAGGGGCGUGGGGCGGAGGGGGCCCGCCCGCUGCCCCGGGGUGGGGAGUCGCCGACGGCCGGCGUCCUCCCGCGGCCGGGCGACCCCCGCGGUAAGCGCGGCCGCCUGCGCUGGGCUGCCUCGGCCCAGGGCCCCUCCGUGGGCUCUUGGUGUGACCUGAGACCUGGCGGGCCCCGGCCGAAAUAAAAGCACGUACCCGGCCGUGUGCAGCACGCAGAGGAAACAAGGUGGUGGUUUAACUGGCUGGAGUGCUUAGACCCACUUUGGAAACUAUCAACUACAACUACAGUGAAGAAGAGUAUAAGUGAAUGGAUGUAAGAGUUGCCAAAAGUGUUUAAACUAGUAUCUUGUUUGCAAGAGUGGCUAUGAGCAGGUACCUAGGAAACAGUGAGAACAGUACAAGCAUAUACAAUAUUUUCUGUACAACUCUCCCAGCUUCUGACCAGGGGACUUCCUGAGUUGGAUGCAUCUUUACAGUUUAGUAACCCUCUACUGCUGGGCUGCUCUUCCAUUAAUUUCUCCAGCCUCCAUAAACACCCAUCAACUUUUAUCAUCUAUGACAUCCUGGGGCAAGGAGUACCACAGGUCUACUGCCAUUUUCAGGAAACGCCAUCUUGGCGUGUUUUCAACCUGAGGCUCUAAGCAGACUGUUCAGAGUGGAGCCUUCUUAGAUUUCCCUGAGCACUGCAUUUCUUGCCUGCUAAAGCAUCUCGCUGGCCUCUGUGAGGAAGGUAAUACAGAAUGAUCACCGCGUUCCUUGACUGGACAUUCAGAGAGUAGGUUUGGCUGUGGUGAACUGCCUUGUAGAAGUCCUGAAAUUUUUUCCUGUUGAAUCUGCAAAGGACAGGUUUGAUAGAUUUUUCUCAAAUUGAAUGUAAUCAUUUGAAUUAUUGCACUUAUAAUCAAAAUCUCUGUCUUCAUCAAUAGAGUCUGUCUACAUCUUUGUUUUAGAGAGCAUCAGAUAUAAAGCCCUGCCAGUGGAAAAUGUUUUCUUUUUCUUUUCUUAAUAUAUAGUCAUUUUCCACAAUAUUUUUCAUCUAACAAUCUUAGCUUUUUGAUCAAAUAAAAAACUGUUUUAUGUUCUUCCUAUUUUGAGGCUAGCUAGGAUGAAAUUGAAGAUACCCUCCAAUAACCUUUGUAAAUGUUUGCUUUGUAUGUUUGUUGGGAAGCUUCACAAGGCAAUUAUUUCAGUUUCCAUAGUGAGCUGUUUUUGAUGUCUUUACCGUUCAACACACAUCCUGUUAAGAGUUGUCAUUAACUCUGUUGUCUUCUUUGUUCUGUAUAGUGCCAAGCACUUUGACAGAGUUCAAAUCAAUACUAAAUAAUAAUGGAUGGUUUUUUAGCUUUAUUUCCAGGUUUGGCUAUCAUGGAUGAAAGUGCUAGCUGAUGACAAGAAUGCAGCUUUUUUCCCCUCAGCUUCAGAAAGCUUAGUGUCUUGUGGUAUCCAGACAAGCUUUAAUUUAGCAUUUAGUGUAGAAACCUCCAUGUCCUGCAAUAAAAUACUAUUUCUAAGGGUAGGAAAGGCUACAGUUACUAUUAAAUACUUGAAACAAGCAAUUAACAUCCUUCACGCUUCAGACUUGUUUUAAUGCAGUAGAACAAAUUCAGUGCAACAGUCAAAAGCAUUCUACAAGCACUAAAAAUGGAAAAAGUACUAAAUCCAGUUUCAAAUGAAAAGCAAUAAUAAUCCUGAUGGAUUAGAACCAUUACUAUGCAUCUUAAAAAUACCGGUUGGCAUUCUCAGGAACAGUUGGGCUAUGGCUAUAUCUGGAGUAGGAGAAGCUGCCUUUAGAGCUUCCCAGCAGCUGGAGCCAGGGUAUACCUGAUCAAUACCAGGGCUGGGCCUAUUGUACUCCCAUUACUUCUGUAUUUCCUACUGAGUAGUUAGUAAGGGAUGCAAUAUGCAGAGAGGUAAAUCUCUGAGUCAAAAUCCCAUUGAGGCGUAUAUGUUUCAGGUAAACUGUUGAAUCAAGGGGACACAUCUCUACUUAAAAACAUGACCUGACAGUUUUAUAUUUUCCUUAGGAGGCAUCAAGGCUUCCUUUUCUUUUUCUUAAAUAAAAGCUGAAACCCUUCCAGAAGUCCUUAAAAUGGGUUUAUAUAUUGUCUGUCCAUUUAUCUGCAUAAGCCUGAAGACAGUAUUUCAUUCAGGCGAUAUUUUGAUAGAGGGAAAAUCUGGUAGAAUAAUUCCACAUGUAAUUUUCUGAGGGAAAUACCUGCAGAACCAUGCCUUUUGAGGAGUCACUUUUUCUUUAAUAAAUAGAAGUCUCAGGGCCUUGAGAAGAUACUCAUUUUGCAUGCACCAGUUAUUGCAUAAGAAUGGAAACUACCAGUAUGUUCAAAGCAACCAUUUUUCCUCCGUGUCUAUCUGUGUGACUAGCAAAAAGGAAUCCAGUGAGGAGAAACUGAACAAUAUGGAAUGUGGUCCACUGCUCUAGAAGUGCAUGUUCAAGCUGGUAUCAAAAAAAGCCUUUAGUUGCAAAAGAAGAAAUCCUUCCCAGUUUGUGGAUACUCUUUGUGUUUGGCAGAAGAAGGGAAGUUAAUGAAAUGCCUAAGACCCAUAAAACACAGAGCACAGGUUUGGUAGGGUGAAUAGCAGACCAAGACAUGGUGGCAAGGGAAUAGGACUGAAGAAGUACAGCUCUGCAUGUUUUCCACUAGCAAGUCUGCAAGACUUUUGUGGUGGGCAGGGAGGAUCUUAGGGUGUUCUGGUUCAUCACAUAUUUUCCAAUUUGCAGUCCCAGGUAUUCAGACCAGGAGUACAAUUUGUUCCCGACAUGUAAGUAUUAUCACUGGGCUAAUCCCAGAGCAUGUUUUGUAGCAUAAGAAAAAUAAGCAAAUAAAAAUUAAGCUAAAAUUUCAUUUUUUCUUCUCUAUUUAUUAUUUGAAGACACUUUUUUUUAUAAGGUUUGGCAGUUUCCCCCUAAUUGUUUGGUGGGUUGCACUUAAAAAUUAAAAGAUGCUGUCUCAGAAUUGCUGACAUAAGAGAAAAGCAGUAUCUGUUGUGUUAUCAAGACCAUGUUUCUAGUAUCCAUGGCCCGUGUAAUUAGAUUCUAGUUCAGAAACCUGGCAAGGAAACUGACCUUGAGGAAAUAAGGGGAAAAAGACUUAAAAGACAAACUACAAACCAAAAGUAAAAAUGAGCUAAAUCCAUACCACAGAACUGAAUUUCUCUCCUAGCAAUCUGUAGUAGCCUGUAAUUACAGACAUGUUUUGAAUUAUCCUUUAUAUUCUUUCUACUUUUCAAAACCUAGAUGUUUAUCAAUUUGUCUAAGAAUCUCAUUUAAUUUUUAAAAGGAGAAUAAAACUUGUUUCUGUGCUUAUUACAAA